rnacentral:rRNA from 1 species
AUUGAACGCUGGCGGCAGGCCUAACACAUGCAAGUCGAGCGGAGCGGCGGACGGGGGGGUAAUGCCUAGGAAUCUGCCUGGUAGUGGGGGAUAACGUCCGGCAACGGGCGCUAAUACCGCACACUAUCAGAUGAGCCUAGGUCGGUUUAGCUAGUUGGUGGGGUGAAGGCCUACCAAGGCGACGAUCCGUAACUGGUCCGAGAGGAUGAUCAGUAACACUGUAACUGAGACACGGUCCGGCGUCCUAGAGGAGGCCGCAGUGGGGAAUAGGGGACAAUGGGCGAAAGCCUGAUCCAGCCAUGCCGCGUGUGUGAAGAAGGUCUUCGGGUUGUAAAGCACUUUAGGUUGGGAGGCGUUACCAACAGAAGAAGCGCCGGCUAACUUCGUGCCAGCAGCCGCGGUAAUAC